AGAUUCCAGCUAGACACCAAAUACCAGCUACAUCGAGGUCCGGGCGACAGAAAGUGAAGCAGAAGAAGAAACGACUCCACGCCAGCUUUAAGAACAAUUGAGGUUGAGCAGGCGAUGGAAUGGAUUGGUGUUGAGCGGAUUUCCCUUUUGAUGUUUAUGUAAUGAAACCUUGAGUAUGCAUCUCCAUAUGCAUAACUCACACGUUUUUCCGCUGCAAACACUCUGAAUUUGUUAUCGUAUUGUGGAACUUAUUACUCCUUCAUUUUGUUUAACUUUCAUUUGGGGUUUAGUCGUUAUGGCUGGCUCAUUUGUUAAUUACCCAAGUGGUUAUAUAUAUAUAUAUACCACUAGUUUGUUGUUAUUAAUGUUGGUUAUUUAGUAAAUCCCUU